AGUCGGAGUCAGCUUGUGGGAUCCUAAGUGGUAACUCAAGUCUAGACGUGAAAGAAGCGCUCGUGUAGACUGACGCAUAUAUCCUCCAAAACAUUGAAGGCGACGAGCGCCUCUGUGAUGAUUCCUGUCGUCGCAUCAAUUGCAUCCUAUCGCUGUUUGACAAAAUGCCAAGGCGGGAGCGGAUGGUGUAAGAGGCGGUUGAGCGUGGACUAUCAUGUCGCAUCUACAUCUGAUGCCUAAAGGUUGGUUUGUUUUUCACUCUCCUGCUGCUACGUAGCGAAAGAAGCGUUUUGUCUUCUCGAUGGCUUCAGUUAUCGCAUAAACAGCGCUCUAAAACUGCUCGACGAAAUGCCUAGCCGGGUAGGAGCUGCCUGGGAUUUGCUGAUUGAAGCAGCAGCACCUGCAGGGUAUUGGCGCAGACAUUGAACAAGGUUGGAAGAGGUCGUCGGCCUCCACGCUCAAGUUCUCAAAACGCACCUCGACCUUGGGAACUUGAAUCCCCAACUUAACCAUAAAACAUCACUUGGAGGAGGAACUCCUUGUCGUCCGCAUGGUGAAGGGGGCCUCUUGCCGUUCCAUGCUUGUGGAUCUCGUCUUCCUUCUGCCACUUCAACUUCGGGUUGUGCUACCAAGUAAGCCUUGUGUUGAUGUGCUGUUUUAGCGUGGCUCAGAUAUAUAGAGUGGAAGAGCAACGUGAGCUAGUGUAAGCCUGGUGUUGAUGUGCUGUUUUAGCGUGGCUCAGAUAUAUAGAGUAGAAGAGCAACGUGAGCUAGUAGUAGUAGCAUGGGAACGGUGUAAAGGAGUACCAGAACUGAAUCGGAAUCGAAUCAGGUCAAUAGUUCGAUGAUAUCGAAUCAGAUGAGAAGCGGGGUCAUACGGUUCGAUUCUGAUUUCUAGAAAUUAGGAUGUAAAUCGGUAUGGUAGAAUCUAAAGCUCUGAUUUCAGUUCUUAGUGGAAAGGACGCUGUUCCACACCCACUGUCUCUAUUCAUAGUCUCAACGCAGCAGUAGUUGAUUCGAUUGUUCAUCCAUGUGGGUGACAUGACACAAUUCCAAUCACGAUAGAUUUCUUGGAGCAUGGCGAAGAUUGAGAUCAGAUCUGGUUCACCAAGUCUCACAAGAAUGUUCCAUCGUGCAGUAAUCCAAAUGAACGUGGCAUGGAAAGACACGAGGGACCAACCCAGGGUAAGAACAGGAGCCUAUUACAGUCCUUUUCAAUCAAAUGAACCAUUAAUGGUUUGUUUUGUCAUCA